GAUGAACGCUAGCGGAAGGCUUAAUACAUGCAAGUCGAGCGGUAGGUGGCUUCGGCCAUUGAGAGCGGCGCACGGGUGAGUAACGCGUACAUGACCUGCCUGUCAGAAGGGGAUAGCCCUGGGAAACUGGGAUUAAUACCCUAUGGUAUUGAUAUUAUGAAUGAUAUCAAUUAAAGUUGAGGCGCUGACAGAUGGAUGUGCGUCUGAUUAGCUAGUUGGUAGGGUAACGGCCUACCAAGGCGACGAUCAGUAGGGGGCGUGAGAGCGUGGUCCCCCACACGGGUACUGAGACACGGACCCGACUCCUACGGGAGGCAGCAGUAAGGAAUAUUGGUCAAUGCCCGCAAGGGUGAACCAGCCAUUCCGCGUGGAGGAUGAAGGCCCUAUGGGUUGUAAACUUCUUUUAGAUGGGAAGAAAAUGCUAGAUGUAUCUGGUACUGACGGUACCAUCAGAAUAAGCACCGGCUAACUCCGUG
rnacentral:rRNA from 1 species